rnacentral:lncRNA from 1 species
AAAGAGUUUGUUUUAAUUAUUGCAGGAUCUUGGGAGUCCAAUAAAAAUCAAUGGUUCAGGUUAUGUCCUGAUAGAUGGAAUGAACCUGGAUUCACAAAUGCUCAUCGUUGUUGAUGAAAGUACAUUACAAGGGCUUCUUACACUGAAAGGCAUUGAUAACAAACAAGAACUGGAUGCACUGUUAACUCAUAAUAUCCAAGGAGCCACUGACCUUGGCUUUCCAGCAAGGACACUAGUGGACGUGACUUUGGAACGAAAGGGUGACUUGUAUAAAAGACUGGUUCAAUUCAGUGUGGACAGCAUGAAAAUUACAGAGGAACUGAGCUUUAUUCAGAAGCUGGGUUUUGUGUCUAUUAACUACAAGCUCACACAUAAUAUAGAAGCUUUGAAGACUUUGCAAG